GUGGUUAGUGUGGGUGCUGGGCCUGCCAUGCCCGAGUCACACCCUUCACUUAAGACCAGAGACUCAGUCAGCCCUUUUGCUUGGUCCUUGUCCUUGGGCUAGAAUGCUCCACGAAACUCACUUGUCUGGUUUUCGCUUGUAUCAGCCACAAAGAUCUGAUUGUCAAACCACAGACCCAGCAUUUUCUCUGAUCUCACUUUAGCCCUCCCGUCCACCUCAACCCUAUGAUAAACUAGGAUUCAGAGACACGAGAAGCCCUUUUCUCGGUGACCGUUGAAAACUUACAAGGCAGUUCCAGAGAUUUCUAACGGUGUGGCCAGCCUUCGGCACUCACAGAGGCUGUCAACCAUAGGAUUAUCUACAUACUCUCACUGCCAGCCCAGUGUGAACCACAUUUUUUUUCUUUUGAACAAAGGAAUAUUCAUUUUUCUGUCAAGAGGUUCAGACUUGGGCUAGAGAGAUAGUUCAGUAGUUAAAAGCACUUGUUGCUCUUGCAGAGGACCUGGUCUUGAUGAUUCUCAGCACCCAUACGGUGAUGCACAAACAUCUGUAACAGUUCCUGGGACCUAAUGCCCUCUCCUGGCCUCUGCAGGUAUUGCAUGCAUGUGGUGACUUACAUGCACAUGCAGCCAAAACACUUAGACAUAUAAAAUAAAAAUAAAAAAAAGCUUUUAAAAAAGGAGGCUUAAACUUUUGAAAUUGAAUUUGAAUUUGAAUCCAUAGAAGGAAUCAAUACUGUGUAGUGAGGAAUUUGUAAAGUACGGAGGAUAUACCAGUGUGCUCUGGUCCCUUGGGCUCUGAGAUGGAGAAUUUAGGUCCUUACAUUCUAACAUUCGCCUCUCCGGCCUCCAAUAAAAAGAGCCCCAUGCACCAUUUUACUUCAGAAAGCAACUUGUGGCCAUGACCUUGAGGAAGGUCUGUAUCAUUCUGGGGAUCAUAGCUCCCUAGCUAUCUUGCCUGGGCAUCCAGCUCAGUGAAAAAGCCUGGCUGGAGCCUUGGGUCAGACACGCCAGCUCCAGCGGGCUGAGUGGGCUUGUCUCAGGAUCCAGUUGUUCAGAAAAUGGGUAGUUUCACAGGUGUGGCCCCAGGUCACCCACCGCCUGAGCACACCAGCAUUCCUCCUUGUACAGUCAAGACGCUUGUUCCCCCAGACCUUCGGUCCCCUGACGACUUACCCGAAUGAUGUUUGUACCAUAUUUCUGUUCCAAUUCUGUAUUACUGAGUCUGUGGUCAUCCUGAAAUUCACAAAAGGAAAGGGAGUGAAUGGCAUCAUUCUAAAAGACUCCACCCCAACAUCUGACCCACUUUGAACGCUGGCAGUAGCCCUGAGAAAAGAAAGGGCCAGGGAGGUUGGUGGGAAGCAGAGGAGUCUGUGCAGUGAGGAGGGGUACUGGUGCAGGAGACCCUUGUCCUGAGUGCCCCCCCUCCCCCGUGAGUACACACUGCACUUGCCAUUGACGCUCAGGCACUGCCCUUGGUUUUUAUGAGCAACACAAUGCCUACUUGCCACACUCUGACCUCCAGCACAUGCAAGCCCUGCCAUCCUUCCUCAUCUUGUAGCUUUGAGCUAGUUGGAUACUUCACUUAGACCUGGAUGCUAAGACUGGCUGAAGGUGGUAAGCAAACCCCAAGUACACAGGGGAUGAAAGCAGGGAGAGAGGAAGAGUGAGGCUGUGCUCCUAAGGAUUGGAGUAAUAUGGGCUCUUCAUUCAGGAGAAUUAGAGUAGCCCAGGCUUUUCAUUCGGGAGAAUUAGAGUAGCCCAGGCUCCUCAUUCAGAAGAAUCAGAGUAGCACAGGGUUUUCAUUCAGAAGAACCAGAGUAGCAUGGGCUCUUCAUUCAGAAAGAUUAGUUCCAAGGCUCUCACUUGCCACAGAGAUCAAGGUUCAAAGGCAUCCACGCAUCAUGACACAAACUGCAGGACUGUUGUGAGAAGCUUGAAGAAGUAGAAGGAGGACUUGCAAUGAAAAUAAAAUGUAGAUAGGUCAAUAUAGAUAACUAAAAAGUGAGAAGGCUUAUUAGAGAAUAGAGGUAUACUCUAUUCUAUGAGUAGCAAUCUCAAGGGAAAACAGGUAUGUCUUAGACACUAGAGACACACAGGACAUAAUAAUUCUUUUUGUGUAUUAUCUAGUACUGCUCUUUGACCUGACCUAUCUCACUUAAUCCUCUCCACAACCCUAACAGAUAGGCAUUACUCACCACCCCCUACCCCUUUAAUCAGGUCUCAGAAUGUAGCCCUGUCUGGCCUUGAACUCACAAACCCCUCACCCUAGCCUUCUAAGUGCUGGGGUUAAAGAUGAGUGAAAAUAGGAAAAUGAACGUCAGUCACAUUGAGAUUUAAACUUAGGUCAGUCCAUCUUGUGAGCUGUCUACCAGGAUGCAGGCACACAACAGCCUAACAGUGCACUGUUAGAUGUUUAACAAGCUCCCCAGGCAAGUUAAACAGCUCUGAUUUGUAGUAUUUGUUGACUCCUCAUGAGGACCUCACUAUGCCAAGUUUCUGAGUACUGAACAAUUGGCAACCUAGCCUGAACAAGCUGGUUGCAUCAGUCCAGCCAUAGCCCAGGUUUUGAGGUCUGCCCAUGGACUGCAGGGAUAAUCCAGCAGAAUCUCAAACUCCCUUUAGCCUGCCCAAAAGGAUAUCUUCCAUUUCACACCCAGGGCGGCUGUUCAUUAAAGACGACCCAAAGUCCUUCCUUCAGAGAAACUUACUUUAAAAAUGUGGCUCAUUUCCCCCUCCCAGACCUUGCAAACUAUUUCCCAUUUUACAUGGGGGCGGGGUAGUUUCCAUGGAGCUAGCUUGUUUGUGCCCAGUUACAGCUCUGUCCUAGAGAAGGUCUUAGACUGAGGCCGGCCAGGCCCGGCUUUUCUACCCCUGGAGCCGUUUUCCCUCUUUGGGAGAUUGACACAGGGUUAUUUAUAUCUCAUGGAAGCCGCUGGAAAGGAGAGGGAUGGUUUCUGCCUCUUGGGCAUACAACGGAUGCUUUAACUCCCUGUCCUAUCUGGGACAGCCUCCAACCAGAACGCAGGAAUCUGGCAACGAGGCGAGAUGACUGAGUGACAAGGAGUGGUGACAGAGGGACGCAGGAGGACAGGACAGAACCAGGAAAGAUGUUAUCACACUCAUAGCAACAACAAACAAACAAGGAGGUUGGAAUCCUUCCAGGGUAUUCCAAGCUAGCAAGGCCGAGGUGAUUCUUCCUUACCAGAGGGAAGCUACAGAGACAGGCUCUCAGGGGAGGGGGCACCAGACCCUUCCACCUUCUGGGGACUGACCAGAUCAAGUUCUUUCUUCAGCUCCUCUUUCUCAUGACUCUUAUUGGGUUCCGAGUCCUUGUCCUUCGCCCCCUUGAACUUCGUGUCGUCUCUCUGGUCGAUCUGAUUGACAUCUUUAGUUCCAUUGAGCUCCACAGAAUAAAUUUUUGGUGUUUUCUGGAAGAGAAGCAGAGGUGCAAUAUUAGCCCCCAGAGAGGCUUUCUUGAGGAGUUGCAAAGUUGCUCCUCCAGAGUGAGGAGAUGCCCAGAAGAGUGCCGGCCCCCUCCUCCCCACCUGGAGAGGAAGCGUCUCCCUCCUCCCCUUCCAAAAAUAUUUCCCAUCCUCUCUCUGGAGACACGAGGCUUGGUUGGCACAGCCCUGGAAGCGUCUUGUCAAGGACCCCUUCUCUGGGGUCCAGUUUCUCUAGCACCUUGGUCCAUGGGUCACACCAGAUAUGCCAUCUUUUUUUCUUAAGGAAGGGGUGGAGUUCCAAGCAGGCUCACUUGUAAGCGUGGCUUUUCAGACCACCUUGCAUCCGACAGAAGCCUAGUGGUCCAUCUCCAAACAGGAGCUUUCAGAGCAGGUGCUGUGUGGCUGGCUUGGCAACCCUGGGGACCCUUCCUGCACAUCUAUACUAACGUCUAUACACUGCCAGCCCUAAUUUGCCAUAUAUAUUCUUGGCGACUGGAAGUGAGUCCAGUGUUAAGAUUGCCCACCCCCUAUUGUCCUGAGACCCAGCAUUUCUUUUUCUU